rnacentral:rRNA from 1 species
AACGAACGCUGGCGGCAUGCCUAACACAUGCAAGUCGAACGAGACCUUCGGGUUUAGUGGCGCACGGGUGCGUAACGCGUGGGAACCUGCCUUUAGGUUCGGAAUAACUCAGAGAAAUUUGAGCUAAUACCGGAUGAUGUCUUCGGAGCAAAGAUUUAUCGCCUUUAGAUGGGCCCGCGUUGGAUUAGCUAGUUGGUGGGGUAAAGGCCUACCAAGGCGACGAUCCAUAGCUGGUCUGAGAGGAUGAUCAGCCACACUGGGACUGAGACACGGCCCAGACUCCUACGGGAGGCAGCAGUGGGGAAUAUUGGACAAUGGGCGAAAGCCUGAUCCAGCAAUGCCGCGUGAGUGAUGAAGGCCUUAGGGUUGUAAAGCUCUUUUACCCGAGAUGAUAAUGACAGUAGCGGGAGAAUAAGCUCCGGCUAACUCCGUG